GCAGCCUGCAACUCGGCUGCAUGAAGCUGGAAUCGCUAGUAAUCGCGGAUCAGAAUGCCGCGGUGAAUACGUUCCCGGGUCUUGUACACACCGCCCGUCACACCAUGGGAGUCGGGAAUGCCCGAAGUCAGUGACCCAACCGAAAGGGGGGAGCUGCCGAAGGCAGGCCUGGUAACUGGGGUGAAGUCGUAACAAGGUACC
rnacentral:rRNA from 1 species